rnacentral:rRNA from 1 species
UACGAAGGGGGCUAGCGUUGUUCGGAAUUACUGGGCGUAAAGCGCGCGUAGGCGGACUGACAAGUCGGGGGUGAAAUCCCGAGGCUCAACCUCGGAACUGCCUUCGAUACUGUCAGUCUUGAGGUCGGGAGAGGUGAGUGGAACUCCGAGUGUAGAGGUGAAAUUCGUAGAUAUUCGGAAGAACACCAGUGGCGAAGGCGGCUCACUGGCCCGAUUCUGACGCUGAGGCGCGAAAGCGUGGGGAGCGAACAGG